GUUGAUCAGAGGACAGGAGCACCUUCCCUGCAAAGGCAGAAUGAGGGAGUUGGGGCUGUUCAUCCUGGAGAAAAGAAGGUUGUAUGGAGACCUCACAGGAACAUUUCAGUAUAUGAAAGGGAAUACUGGAGAAGUGAUCCUUUGUCAGGAGCUGUACGGUAGGACAGAGAGUAAUGGGUUCAGACUGAAGGAGGGGGAAAUUAGAAAGAAAGAGGGGAAAGUUGCCCAGUUCAAGGCCAGGUUGGAUGGAGCCUUCAAACUGAUCUGAUGGAAGGUGUCUCUGCCCAUGGCAGGGGCAAUGAAACUAGAUGGUCUCAAAGUCCCUUCCUAACCAAACUAUUCUAUGAUUUUGUGAUCUGCCUUCUUUGUGAAUUACAUUUCUUCAUACUGCAGAAUUACCAGUGAAAUGAAUAAUUCUGACAGCAUCUGGGCUUAGGGAAGAUUUUGCUCUUUUUUCUGUUUAACAAACAGACUGCUCUUUAGUGAUCUUCUUAAGCACUUGAUUUUUAACUUUUCUGGGCAUCUCUACAAAAUAUCAGUACACAACAAAAAAAAUUGCUGAUCAAGUUAUGUAAAUCUUGAAAAAUUCAGUUUGGCAUUGUAUGGAGCCAUUCACUGGAAAAACUAACAUCAUCAUUCAAAUUUCUCUUUAAUGUCAUUUGUUGGACUGGAGAGAUAACAAAAGAAGCAGUUUUAUUCUGCUGGAGGAGAAGGGCCCUUAUGCAGGCAUUAGCAGAUAUGUCAGAAAAAAAAUAUCAAGGAAUUAAGAUUGUGGAUGUUUGGUCUUGGCUGGUGUCACUUCUGUGGCAAAAGCGUCACAGAAUAAAGUUUAUGUACAGAGGAAGUUACCUGGUUUACGAGGCGUGGGGAUCAGCAGUAUCUGUUUCAGGCUCAGUGGAAAGAAAUUACAUGAGGAUUAGAUGCCACACCUGGAGAAAGCAACUUGCUGGGUGAUUGCAACAGGUCUGCAAGAGAGGAGAACUGGAUGGAGGACUGGAGUGGGAAAGGGAGAUAGAAAUGGAAAUGGAGAGGAAGAUGCAUUUGGAAAGACAUUGAGGAAGGAGUACUCCAUCUGAGCUGAAAGGACUGGUUUGUCUUGGUAAAGAGAGUCUUUCUGCUGCAAAGUCUGGAUGUACAGCACAAGCCAGGGCAGGCGCUGGCGGCGCGGGAGCAGGAGGGGGC